rnacentral:tRNA from 2 species
GCCGGAGUAGCUCAGUGGCAGAGCAGCUGUUUCGUAAACAGCAGGCCGCGAGUUCGAAUCUCGCCUCCGGCUCAA